AUCUCUACCACCACCGGGAAACAGAAAGCCUUCUCUACCUGCAGCUCCCACCUGACCAUCGUAUGUCUAUAUUACGGGACAAUAGUAUUUAAUUAUGUGGUCCCACCAAAAGAAGAAUAUUUGGGUUUGCAAAAACUGAUUUCUGUGCUUUAUACUAUAGCAGCCCCUUUAUUAAACCCCAUUAUAUACAGUCUGAGAAAUGAGCAGUUUAAAGAAGCAAUAAUUCAAUUUAUUUUGAAGAGAAAAAGUGAAAA